AGGACGAACGCUGGCGGCAUGCCUAACACAUGCAAGUCGAACGUGAUCCAGGCUUCGGCCUGGUGAAAGUGGCAGACGGGUGAGUAACGCGUGGGAACCUGCCCUGUGGUAGGGAAUAACCGUGGGAAACUGCGGCUAAUACCCUAUGAGUCCUUCGGGAGAAAGAUUUAUCGCCAUAGGAGGGGCCCGCGUCGGAUUAGGUAGUUGGUGGGGUAACGGCCUACCAAGCCUUCGAUCCGUAGCUGGUCUGAGAGGAUGAUCAGCCACACUGGGACUGAGAUACGGCCCAGACUCCUACGGGAGGCAGCAGUGGGAAUAUUGGACAAUGGGGGCAACCCUGAUCCAGCAAUGCGCGUGGAUGAUGAAGGCCUUGGGUUGUAAAGUCCUUUCGGCGGGAAGAUGAUGACGGUACCGCAGAAGAAGCCCCGGCUAACUUCGUGCCAGCAGCCGC
rnacentral:rRNA from 1 species